rnacentral:tRNA from 1 species
GGACGGUUAGCUCAGUUGGUAGAGCUCCUGCCUUACAAGCAGGCUGUCACAGGUUCGAGUCCUGUACCGUCCAUCA